UCCCCAAAGGAACGAUUUCUGGUAGAAGUCUGAAGGUCUGACCCAAGAAAAAUAAUCCAGUAUAGCCAAUGAAUUGAGGACAAGAAGGUUUCCAAUCAGCAGUUUAAGCCAGGAGAGUAAAUCCAGUUCCUAUUACUCCAUCCUGUCCAGAAGCACAGGUCUUAAGUGAAAUUUAAUACCAAAGAAACAGUUCCAAAUUUUACAACGGAUCUAUCACUGGUUGUUAGCAUAUCUUCCCACACCCAAGACACCAAGAUACCUUCUACUCACUGUUAAAGCUUUAUGAUGAGCAAAACUUCCACCACUGUGCUUCCUUAGCAUGAGACACAGUCUACUGGAGAGAGGCAGAACUGUGAACAGAUGAC